UGGGUCCUUCACACUUGGCUUUCAGGAACAAAAAAAAGCUUGUUACUCUGCACCUGCCUCUCCCCCUCCCCUCCUUAAAACUUAUUUACCCCUAAAGGUCUGAACAGCCGGAAGAAGGAUGUUCAAGGAGACUGGAGAGAAUGAAACAGCAGGGGCAUUCUGGCAUCUUUUUAUCCUGAUAAAACUCCUCCAAAGACUCUGCUGUUUCCCCUCUGCUCCAUAGUCAGGAUCUGGUUUCAGACCUGCCACUGUUCCCUCAGCAACAUCUCCCUGCUCAGUGCUUGUCCCCCAGCUUAGCUCUCUCACAGAGAGAGCUAAACAUCUCCACUGAUGGUCUCCAAUGAGAUGAGGACGAGAAAUCACAAAACCCAGAUUACAAUAGCCAGGACAUGGAAGCAACCUAAAUGCCCAUCAACAAAUGAAUG